UGUCCUGGGGAGAGAAAUGACCAAUGAGAAGGGAGCUCAAGCUGGGGCCACAGGCUUGGAAUCUGUCUGAAGGGGCAGUUAGAAAAAGCAGUUAGAGGAGGUGAAGAAUUGAGAUGCUGAGCUAGCGGAUGAACCAGAGCCUGGGUAGGAGGUGAGGGGAUACAAUAAAAGAACAGGAGGAUAAAAGUAGGGGACUGGGAAGUGAGAAGGAGGAAAGAAGGUAAAUAGAAAAGAUUUCAGGUCAGGAUAAGCCAAAAAAAAAAAAUACCUGGAUACAUGAGCAGACACUGUUAGAGAAGAAGAGGGAAAUAAAAUCUUAAGACUUACCACAGUCUGAGCCUCGAGAAAAAACUGAAAGGAAACAGAAUUGGUGAAAAAGGUAAUUGAUCAAAAAAUUGGGUUAGAUGCAAACAUCCUGGAAGCAAUAAUGAGAACCUCCCCUCCCCAACAAAGUACCUAAAGUACAUGAACAGAGAGAAUUACUGAACAUCUGUUGAUGGAAUACAGUUCAAAGGUGACUAAUGGACAAGUGAGAACCCAAUAGGUGAAGAAACCCCAUUUGUGGAUAAACUCAGUGAAAAGAGGUACAGCCACAAGAACACUGAAUCUAGGGAGCUCUUCAAGCUGAAUAGAAGCAAAGAACAGGAUAGCAAGAGUGGAGUUGGACUUAGAGCGAAGGAGAGGAAAAGCAGGCAUAGCCAGAAGUCUUCUCUUAUCAAUGUAAAAUGGAGAGCUGUCGAGAAGAAAUAUGCAAGAGGUUCCCCAAGUGGGGAAACACAUGUGCCUGAAACUCAGUCAUACUUGCAGGGUGAUAAGCUGUUGGUACAUGGGAUGGUGUACUCAGCUCCUGGUCUGAGAAUGGAAGAAUUGCAGGAUUCCAUCCCGAGACAAGUGGACAUGAUUACUGAUGGCUUGGAACAGGAGCUGUGGAGAAUAGAUGCGGUGGCACCUGAUUGGUACCUAAUCCUUCUUUUGCAAUGUGAUGGAUAUUGCAGAGUUUGGAGACGAUGAGUGGCAGCAGCAGCAGAACUGUGUCCAACUUAGGGAUCUGUAGAGCUGUUUCCAGAAUUUCCAAGCCAUUCUGUCUUCAGUUUAUCCUGCGAAGUCUGCAGCUGGGGUCCCUGGAAAAGCUAUUGAAAAACAAAGCUGGCCCUGGUGUCUACUAUAAAAUUUGGUUCUGUUCAGAUUAAUUCUCAAUUCUAGACAUUCAAAACCAAAUCGUUUAAAAGCCAUUUAUCUGCAAUAUGAUUAAAUGACAAAAUUCCUUGGCAAGGUACAGAUCUUCCUGUCAUACCUAGUAUACUUUAACUACCACUUUUACAGUACAUACAGUACCAUAUUUAUUACAUUUGGUCCUUCUUAUUUUCCAUUUCUUCCCUUGCAGUCCUAGUCCCAUAAACCAGCCUUCUCUUUCUUAGUGGAGUGGCCUGUCAGUAUUGAUUAGGAGAGCUCCACUUUGAACAACUCAGCGAUACCUGUCGUGACAUUUCUUCAUUGUAUUAUUACACGCGUACACACACACACACACACACACACCAGCUGAACCUUGCUCUUGGUCCUUAUACAUUUGUGGUAGAUUCAUGUUGACCUGGGGUCAAAUCCAUCCCUGGUGUAACUUCACUGGCUUUUUAAAAUUAUUUGUUUAACAACAACCAUGUCCUUGGAAAUAAAAAGAAAGCCCCUGACCUGAAGAGUUUAUGUACCGCACUGUUCAGGGUGUGUUGUGUGUCUCACGCUGUGCCUGAUGCACAGAGCAU